AUGUUAAAUUGUGUUUAGCAAUUAUAAAGUGGUUGGUACUAUAUUAUAUGAUUUUCCUGUGUCGAAAUAAGCAUGGUAUUUUAAAGCGAGGUAUUUGAAAGGUAUUUACUUACUUUGAGUAUUUGGGACUCUUUGAGGCAAAGAUAUGACCACAAGCAUUUGACAUGAAAAAGAGAAGCUCAGAUGAUUCAAACGGUAAAGCUGGAGCAGAGCCAAAAUGAACAAGAAAAGAAGGAAGGCACCUCUGAGGCUGCUCCAUGGAGGAAGGAAACACCAGAGGAAAAGAUUUGCUUCAUGAAGAAAUGGCCUCACGCUGAUGAUAAUCUGGAAAUUAAGCCAUCAGCCAGAUUAAUAGACAGAUAAUCGUGCCUUCCCCACAUGCUGCGAGGCUCAAACAAAUUAACACGCAUAAAAUACCAAGCAGUGCUUUUGCCAUUUGAUAAGCCUUUUGUAAUCAUGCACAGAAGCCUGGAGGUUCUCUGACGAGCUUAUGGAAUAACAAAGCCAGUUUUUAUUGUGGAAGUUAUCACUACGGAGAUAGCACUGGCAAGACCGCAGCUAACUGGGAGCAGUGAUUGAUUUCAGCAAGACUUGAACCAAGGAAACCAGGUCUAUUCUGCCCCGGACUGGAGCACAUCAUCUAAGGCAGUUCUGAGCACUGAAGGGAAAUCAUAUUGAAGAUUUCAACCUUGAAGUUAAUUGCGAAGUUUGCUGCAGACGGCGAAUGUUUCAAAGAGACGAAAAGCCACAGAAGCAGAAGGAGAGUAAGCCGGGGGACUCUGCACAAGAGGCAAGCAGGGCAGACACUGCUGCUCUAACUUCAAAGGGCAGCAGACACGAGGUCCCCUAAGACCCGCCUGCUCGUGGGUCAUGGUUCUGCCUGAUCCGCACUCGACAGACUCUUCCUCCUCUGAAAUCCUUAUAACGCCUGCCUUCUGGGGCUUCUGAUCACGGAACGCUAGUGCGGAAAAGCACUUCAGAGGGCAGGAUUCUGGACCAAACCUCUUACAGACCAACAGAGUCCCGGAGAGGUUAAACAACUUGCCCUCCUAUGCACUUGAUCUCAGAGUCACUCAAGUGUUCUCCGGAGGUGGGGGAAGUCCAUGUCUUAGUUUUCUUUUUCUCUUUGCCAGAGCAAUGCAGCAUAGGCAGCACUAAAUAAAUAUGUUGUGCUGAAUCUCGAAAGUAUUCAAAAUUCCACCUGCACCAAAAUAAUCCACUGUGAAUGUUACCUAAACAUGGAUACGUGCCUUAAGUACACAGUCUUAAGAUAUAUUUACCGUAUGUUACAGGCAGAUCCAAAGGCUAGAUAAUUAUAAAUCUUUUUAGGUAUCCCCAUGAUACUUUACAUUUAUCAAGUGCUUUGCAAUAUGUAAGUUACUCUUUCGAGUCUCACAGUUGUUCCCAGGAGGUAGCAGGAGAUCUCAUCCUCACGUUACAUGUGAGGAAACGAGGGAGACUUGGAAAACUUAAGACUCGCUUGUGUUGAGCCUUUAAGUAGCCAAUACAGGAUUUGACCCAUACAUGAGGCCCAGUUCAUAGCCCUCUCCUCUAGACCAUGGUGCCUCGAAUGCCUGAAGAUUUUCUUCAACAACAAAAGCCUUUGCUUCUUUGAUUCUUCUACAGUAUAAAAUAAAAUUAAAGAAACUAGCAUUUUUUUCCCUUAACAGAGGGCUUACAAACCCCUGCCCUAUUGUUUGACCUACCGGGGCUUAAUGCAUACCUGAAACUCUUUCUUGCUCCAAAAGCUUAGUGUAAAGAUUGAAUAUCUGUUCCUGGACUUUGCACACAGAUCGUUUAAUCUUUUCCCUGCGGGUCACCAUGUAAGUGAGGUUCCGAACCUAGAACGUAGAGAAUAAAGAUUCUAAGUAAGCAAUACAUUAUAACAGGACUUCGGUGUUUUUUGUUUUUUUGUUUUUUUCCUCUUUACCUGAGAAAAAUUUGUCCUACUAGGUCCUUGAGUGACUUUUGAUAUCCAAAUGUACUUUAAACAUUUUAGCUAAUCUCUAAGCCUCCCUUUGGGUGCUAACAAGUAUUCUGCGUAUACCCCUCAAGGUGGGUAGCAGCACAAAAGAGGCUGUCAGAGGAGGUCCUGCCCCUGCACCACACCUGGCCACAGGCUCCUCCUGGCGAAGAGACAGACGCCCAUCGGUGUCCAAGUCCAAACAUGCCAGCUCUUGCCAAAGGACUCUGCUCAUCACCCCUUCAGUAUCCUCUUCCCAUGAAUUCUAUCGUCAGAGGCUUCAGAGCAGUUCAGAAGCCACCUCUGCUGCACUUUAUCAAGCAUCUUCUGAAGAUGGAACUAGACAGCAUUAGGGUCAAGGGCCAUCAGAGGGAGAAGCCCCUCACAAACAAUGUCCCCACACAGGGCUCACUAGAAGGCCAAGUAGUCACCAGGAAUCCAAGUAAACUUCUUUUGUUGACACUGAACUCUCUGAAGUACCUUGGAACUUACAGGCCGCUGUGUUCCUACAGCGUGUGAACACCUAGGGAACAUCCUUCUUGCUUUGCCAUUGACUUGCUAGCUCAGCCUCUCAAGGCCAGCUUUCUGUAUCACCACCUGA